rnacentral:tRNA from 1 species
GGGUAAUAGUUAAUUAUAACAUUUGAUUUGCAUUCAAAAAGUGUUGACUCAUCAACUUACCUU